rnacentral:rRNA from 1 species
GAUGAACGCUGGCGGCGUGCCUAAUGCAUGCAAGUCGAACGCAUAGCGAAAGGUGCUUGCACCUUUCAAGUGAGUGGCGAACGGGUGAGUAACACGUGGACAACCUGCCUCAAGGCUGGGGAUAACAUUUGGAAACAGAUGCUAAUACCGAAUAAAACUUAGUGUCGCAUGACACAAAGUUAAAAGGCGCUUCGGCGUCACCUAGAGAUGGAUCCGCGGUGCAUUAGUUAGUUGGUGGGGUAAAGGCCUACCAAGACAAUGAUGCAUAGCCGAGUUGAGAGACUGAUCGGCCACAUUGGGACUGAGACACGGCCCAAACUCCUACGGGAGGCUGCAGUAGGGAAUCUUCCACAAUGGGCGAAAGCCUGAUGGAGCAACGCCGCGUGUGUGAUGAAGGCUUUCGGGUCGUAAAGCACUGUUGUAUGGGAAGAACAGCUAGAAUAGGAAAUGAUUUUAGUUUGACGGUACCAUACCAGAAAGGGGCGGCUAAAUACGUG